GACGGAGGAUGCAAGUGUUAUCCGGAAUUACUGGGCGUAAAGCGCGCGUAGGCGGCUUUGCAAGUCGGGGUGUGAAAUCCCCAGGCUUAACCUGGGAACUGCAUUUGUGACUGCACGGCUAGAGUGUGUCAGAGGGGGGUAGAAUUCCACGUGUAGCAGUGAAAUGCGUAGAUAUGUGGAGGAAUACCGAUGGCGAAGGCAGCCCCCUGGGAUAACACUGACGCUCAUGCACGAAAGCGUGGGGAGCAAACAGG
rnacentral:rRNA from 1 species